rnacentral:rRNA from 1 species
UACGUAGGGCGCAAGCGUUGUCCGGAAUUAUUGGGCGUAAAGAGCUCGUAGGUGGCUUGUCACGUCGGGUGUGAAAGCUUGGGGCUUAACUCCAGGUCUGCAUUCGAUACGGGCUGGCUAGAGGUAGGUAGGGGAGAACGGAAUUCCAGGUGUAGCGGUGAAAUGCGUAGAUAUCCGGAGGAACACCGGUGGCGAAGGCGGCCUCCUGGACCGAUACUGACGCUGAGGCGCGAAAGCUAGGGGAGCAAACGGG